UGCAAGUUCACAGACAUAUUUUACUUUUGACAGCAGCAGUCCUUUAUGAAAAUGUCUUUGCAAGGUUUUAUUUUUUUAAAAAAAAUCUGGUCCUAUUUACAAAGAUUUGCUGAACUGGAAAAAUGAGAAAAUCUUGCCAUGAUUUCAAAUUAAUUCUUCAGAUAUUUAAGAGCUGUUAAAAGACUUGGAGUGUGUCUACACUCACCACUAAAUCUGCAGCCAAUCAGGAGCAAAAAUGGUCUGGACUGAUCCUGGAGGCAUCCGGAUGCACCCAACCAAAACUGCUAUGGCACUAUUAUCCACAAGCUCCAGGCAGUGUGGCUUGGAAGGCUACGUGUUGGGUGGAACCAACAGAUGUACAUGGCUUGGAAUAUCUGGAUCAGGGAUUCUAGAACACUGCUCCUUCACAAGCAAGGCUGAGAAACCGUUCUCAUGCCCUCCAGUGCAAUUCUAUGGUCAACUUCCAACGGAAAACUGUAGAGCCAUGCUGGAGGACCUAGAAUGGUGCUCUCUCUGUUUUUUAAAAAACUAAGAUAAAAUUUCUCAGGAAACUGAUUUCUUCACUCUCCCUUCUUUUUAGAGAACAAAACUCCUUCACAAGCAAGGCUGAGAAACGUAUGGCCCAUGAGUAUGGCCUCUACAGACUCAUCCCCCUUAUUGUUUUUCAACAUGAUUUUCAGGUACAAAUCACUUGAAAAUCCUAAAAUGUUCUAGAUGAGCAUGAAAAAUUAGUUUUAGGACAGCAAAAGUUUGCAAAAUUAUUGGAAGAGAAGUACUCCUUUUUCUGUUUGUGUGCCUGUUAUAAGUUUGGAAAUAUUGCUUUCAAAUUUCACAUAGCAUUUAUAAAACUUUAU
rnacentral:lncRNA from 11 species